CUGCAGUGAUGAGCCGUGAGGUGACUGAUCUGGUAUUGCUUUCCCUCCGGGGAGAGCUCUGACCAGGGAAUGAUCUCAGUUUUAAUCUUCUCUCUGAGCAG